GUAAAAAUGCCCGUGCGUUGCAUCGGGUGGAGCAAAUGUUAGAAUUUGAUUGCAUUUUCAUUAUUAUGACAAUUGUCGAUGGGGAACCAACAAAUUAUGCGCACAUGCAGUUGCCUGGAAGAAGAACCGUCGCAUUGGCAUCCGUGUCGUCUCUUCGACUUUUGCGUCUCCGUUUAUCCGCGCUCAAUAAGAAAAGGAAGGGAAGGUCUAAGGGACUUAUCCUUAUCAAUAUUUUCUGCUAAGAAAUAUUUGCUCUAUUUCUCACAAGGAUGUCAAGACUCGAAUAAAUAUCGUGAUCCAUGCCCUUUACAAGGCCCGUCUGGAUUUUUCUUGCUUGCUUGUUAACAUACGGCUUACAAUAAAUUAACACCGUAGUUAUUUUUUUAAUCUUUGCUCACUCUUUAGCCUCAUUUUUUAAUUCCCGCACCCAGGCCUUGUCACCUUCCCUGACUUUCUCUCUCAGUCUCUCCUGUCCUUCCCCUAAUCCACUUCUCCUGUUCUCACGUUCAUUCCCCUUUCUCUACCAUAGCCAUGAGUCGUUGACCUCCUCCCUGCUGGGUGUUUCCCUUUAUUGUCUGGCCCCCCUUUAUCCCCUUUGUGGUAGCUCUAUUGAGUGGAAGCUGCUGCUGCAAAUCUCCAUUAAUUUUGUUCGUUUGCUGAAGCAAAUUGCCUGGAUUAAAUCGCCAAUAGUUGAGUGCGUGUGGCUGCUUGUCGCUAUUUGUGGCUGGAGUCGAUUCUCCUGAGUUAAUUGUUGGCCUUCUUGACUUGGGCGUGCACGCGUGGUCCUGGAAAGUUUUCGAGGUUGGUUGAUGCGGUUGAUUGUGGCCUGCCGUGAGGUGGAUGUCGCCUUUCUGGAGUUGAAGUUGCUUUCCGUUGAGUCUCGGAUUCCUCUCGGCGGCGCAACAGGCGGCACUCGAGGGCCAUCUCUAUGGAAUUUCGGCGUUACUUGCAGUUAGUACUACCGAAUGAUUGUUCUGCUGCAUCCGUGUCUUCGUUUGUUGGACACGCUGAAGAGGGGAUAUCUGUUUACGGAAGAUGUAGAUCUAUGCCAGUUGAUAUCGAAGAUCAUGCUAUUUUAUUCAGCAGGCUUCAGAACUAUCCGACUACUAAAUCUGUAACGGAGCAAGAAAAGCCAAGCAUUCUCAACGUCAUCUACAAAAUAUGCACGAUGGAUCCGGCGCAACUUGCCCAGAAUUUUGAGAUGGAGGCGUAUUCUUGAAACAUGGCAGGGAAGAAAGCAUCAGAUUAUGCGGCAGCUCCAGAACAAAUCCUUGCAGAAACAUGUCAGGGAAGAAAUCAUCACAUUAUGAGUGUGAGAAGGAGAGGUGUUGUGGGGAGGUCGUCUGGAGGGAAACCGGUAGGCGCGCAGAGGCGUGGGUUAGGUGAAGGGUGGAAACCCAGUCUUUAGUAUUUGUUUGCAUUGUUGUCUCAUUUGCUUAGCAUACAGAUGUUGUUAUGGGCGUCUUUUCUUUUCGUGCAACGUUCUGUGUUAUCCUAGCCUUUAGUUAAAAUGCAUGUAGUCACGCUGCGCAAAUACAUGCAAUCAACACGCAAGCACAUGAAACAGUUACAUAAUAUAAAAU